rnacentral:rRNA from 1 species
CCUACGGGUGGCUGCAGUGGGGAAUAUUGGACAAUGGGCGAAAGCCUGAUCCAGCCAUGCCGCGUGUGUGAAGAAGGCCUUCGGGUUGUAAAGCACUUUCAGUGGGGAAGAAAGCCUUGGGGCUAAUACCCUCGAGGAAGGACAUCACCCACAGAAGAAGCACCGGCUAACUCCGUGCCAGCAGCCGUGGUAAUACGGAGGGUGCGAGCGUUAAUCGGAAUUACUGGGCGUAAAGCGCGCGUAGGCGGUCUGAUAAGCCGGUUGUGAAAGCCCCGGGCUCAACCUGGGAACGGCAUCCGGAACUGUCAGGCUAGAGUGCAGGAGAGGAAGGUAGAAUUCCCGGUGUAGCGGUGAAAUGCGUAGAGAUCGGGAGGAAUACCAGUGGCGAAGGCGGCCUUCUGGACUGACACUGACGCUGAGGUGCGAAAGCGUGGGUAGCAAACAGGAUUAGAUACCCCUGUAGUC